CCUACGGGAGGCAGCAGUGAGGAAUAUUGGUCAAUGGGCGAGAGCCUGAACCAGCCAAGUCGCGUGAGGGAAGAAGGCUUUCGGGUUGUAAACUUCUUUUAAGGGGGAAGAGCAGAAGACGGUACCCCUUGAAUAAGCCACGGCUAACUACGUGCCAGCAGCCGCGGUAAUACGUAGGUGGCAAGCGUUGUCCGGAUUUACUGGGUGUAAAGGGCGUGCAGCCGGGAAGACAAGUCAGAUGUGAAAUCCCGCGGCUCAACCGCGGAACUGCAUUUGAAACUGUUUUUCUUGAGUAUCGGAGAGGUAAUCGGAAUUCCUAGUGUAGCGGUGAAAUGCGUAGAUAUUAGGAAGAACACCAGUGGCGAAGGCGGAUUACUGGACGACAACUGACGGUGAGGCGCGAAAGCGUGGGGAGCAAACAGGAUUAGAUACCCCAGUAGUC
rnacentral:rRNA from 1 species